rnacentral:rRNA from 1 species
UUGGAGGGCAAGUCUGGUGCCAGCAGCCGCGGUAAUUCCAGCUCCAAUAGCGUAUAUUAAAGUUGUUGCAGUUAAAAAGCUCGUAGUUGAAUUUCGGGGUCAGCAGGUUGGUCGUGCCAAUGGUAUGCACUGGCCUUGCUGAUUCCUCCCUCUUGACGAGCCGUAAUGCCAUUAAUUUGGUGUUGCGGGGAAUCAGGACUGUUACUUUGAAAAAAUUAGAGUGUUUAAAGCAGGCAAGCGCUUGAAUACAUUAGCAUGGAAUAAUGAAAUAGGACGUUUAAUCCUAUUUUGUUGGUUUCUAGGAUUGACGUAAUGAUUAAUAGGGAUAGUUGGGGGCAUUAGUAUUCAAUUGUCAGAGGUGAAAUUCUUGGAUUUAUUGAAGACUAACUACUGCGAAAGCAUUUGCCAAGGAUGUUUUCAUUAAUCAAGAACGAAAGUUAGGGGAUCGAAGUCGAUCAGAUACCGUCGUAGUCUUAACCAUAAACUAUGCCGACUAGGGAUCGGGAUGGAUGUUAAUU